rnacentral:rRNA from 1 species
UUGGAGGGCAAGUCUGGUGCCAGCAGCCGCGGUAAUUCCAGCUCCAAUAGCGUAUAUUAAAGUUGUUGCAGUUAAAAAGCUCGUAGUUGAAUUUCGGGAUUGACACAUCGGUCGUGCCUUAAGGGGUAUGAACUGGUGUAGUCAAUUUCUCACCUUCUGGAGAACCGCGAUGUCCUUAAUUGGGUGCCGCGGGGAACCAGGACCUUUACUUUGAAAAAAUUAGAGUGUUUAAAGCAGGCAUUUUGCUUGAAUACAUUAGCAUGGAAUAAUAAAAUAGGACGGAUGAUUCUAUUUUGUUGGUUUCUAGGACCACCGUAAUGAUUAAUAGGGAUAGUUGGGGGCAUUAGUAUUCAAUUGUCAGAGGUGAAAUUCUUGGAUUUAUUGAAGACUAACUACUGCGAAAGCAUUUGCCAAGGAUGUUUUCAUUAAUCAAGAACGAAAGUUAGGGGAUCGAAGACGAUCAGAUACCGUCGUAGUCUUAACCAUAAACUAUGCCGACUAGGAAUCAGACGAUGUUAAUUUUUUAAUGACUCGUUUGGCACCUUACGGGAAAC